CAUUUUUCUGUUUAUUGUAAAUAAGAAUAGAAUAUGUUUCUGAACACUUCUACAUUAAGGUGGAUGCUACUACCAUGAUUACGGAUAAUCAUGAAUGAAUUGUUAAUAAUGAUGAGUGAGAAAGUUAGAGGGUCAAAGAUCAUACCCCCAAAAACAUUCUAACCUUUCACCAUUACCAAUAACAGUGGAGGUUAGGAUUUUCUUUUGGAUAUGAUAUUUAGGCAUCUAACUUUCUCACUCAUUAUUCAUGAUUAUCUGUAAUCAUGGUAUCAUCCACGUUAAUGUAGACGUGUUCAGAGACAUUCUAUUCUUACUUCCAAUAAAAGUGACUACAAAAUUACGCAAUACAUUAUUUACCAUUUCUAUUGGGCACAACAUAAUCUGAAACAACCAAAACAAACUGCAAUUGCAUCCAACCAAUUUGUAGUCCCAAGCUUGGUGGGAAUAUGGGCCCAAAUACUAAACUUGACUACAUUUAAUACACUAUAAGUGAAUUUGUCUAAAUACUUAUGACACCUUAAAGUGGGGGGACUAGAUACAUAAUGUGCUUUCAUUUCUAAACAGUGAAAAUACCCUCAAAUAGACUGCCCAAGUGGCGCAGCAUCUCAGUGCUAGAGGCCUCACUACAGACACUGGUUCGAUUCCCAGCUGUAUCACAACCGGCCGAUUGGGAGUCCCAUAGGGCGGCGCAUAAUUGGCCCAGCAUCAUUAGGGUUUGGCCGGGGUAGGCCGUCUUUGUAAAUAAGAAUUUGUUCUUAACUGACUUGCCUGGUUGAAUAGAAAAUGCAAUAAAAGGUGACAUUCUGUACUGUAGCCUAGUAUGAAACAUUUGAUUUCCAAUCCAAAAUAUUUUAUUUCAAAUCCAAAUUGCUGGAGUGAAGAGACAUUAAAUGUUUUGCUUCACUGUCUAAAUAAAUAUGUGUGUCCAGAAAGAUCUGUUUAGUACAUUACGAAAGACCAUUUGCAAGCGAGCAUGGAGCAGCCUGGGCAUAUGGUGGGGAGGGAAAGACAUGUCAAGCUGACCCAAAUUUUACAGCUAUUCUGGCAUGCCUCCACGGUUUGGUCUUCCAAAAAGGUUGCAAGGUAGUUGCAUCUGCCAGCACCUGCUGGACCAUGUAAACCAACCUGUCAUGGUGCUAUUUGGGAUGCAGAUGGUAUGGUAACUUGAACACUCCUGCCACCUGUAUUGUAUGAAGCUGCUGAGGUUGUCCAGCCAGUGGUUGCAUCCCUAUUACCUAUAUUAGUGCACUACUUUUGGACAAACGUAGUGCACUAUAUACGUGCUAUUUGGGAUGCAGACUGUCAGCAGAGCAUGUGCUAUACAUGGGCUCUUGUUACAAGGUCUCUCCCUUUCGAAGGUCACAACACUCCUUCCUAGUUAUUAUAUUAUUCAACAUUGAGGUGACCAUUUGUUACUUUUUAGCAUGUCUGACAGUAAAAAGGUGGCACUUUAUGAAGACAAAAAAAAUAAAAAUAGUGAAAUGACAAAAUAAGUAAUGCAUGCCCAUUUUUCAAUGUACACUGGAAUGGGAAUCAAUAUUGCACACACAAAGUCCCAUUUGUUUUUGCUUAGUACUUUUCAUUGCAGGUUUGUGCACAUGUUAGAGGGUGUUUGGUUUGUCCAGUGAUUGUCUUUAGAGAUUCGGACCACUUUUGUGUUUUUGCUAACCAUCGACUGUAGUCCCCAAACCCUUUGUGAAAAUGUGUAAUUGCCUAUGG
rnacentral:lncRNA from 1 species